CCUACGGGUGGCAGCAGUCGAGAAUCAUUCACAAUGGGGGAAACCCUGAUGGUGCGACGCCGCGUGGGGGAAUGCAGGUCUUCGGAUUGUAAACCCCUGUCAUGUGGGAGCAAAUUAAAAAGAUAGUACCACAAGAGGAAGAGACGGCUAAAUCUGUGCCAGCAGCCGCGGUCAUACAGAGGUCUCAAGCGUUGUUCGGAAGCACUGGGCGUAACGCGUGCGUAGGCUGUUUCGUAAGUCGUGUGUGAAAGGCACGGGCUCAACCCGCGGACGGCACAUGAUACUGCGAGACUAGAGUAAUGGAGGGGGAACCGGAAUUCUCGGUGUAGCAGUGAAAUGCGUAGAUAUCGAGAGGAACACUCGUGGCGAAGGCGGGUUCCUGGACAUUAACUGACGCUGAGGCACGAAGGCCAGGGGAGCGAAAGGGAUUAGAUACCCGAGUAGUC
rnacentral:rRNA from 1 species